rnacentral:lncRNA from 1 species
UCGGUUAGAUUAAAUUCUAAUCAAAUCAAAUUGACUUAUACUUAGAUCCAUUGCUAGCUAGAUAUGGAACCCAAUGGGUCACACAUAAAAAAAUUAAUCAGGGGUCUAAUUGGAUUAGAUCAUAUUUGCAAAAUUGACAUGCUAGCACAUAUUGCAAAAACUAACUCUCUAUUUUGAAUCAGGUUCAAAAUUGAUUCUAGAUUGGGCUAAUUAAGGCCAAAU